GCUGCAGGCCACCUUAUCGCUCGAUCCCGAACCUAGUUCUGGAUGGGGAGGAAAGUCCGGACACUAUAGUGCAGCAUAGCGGGUAACACCCGUCUCCGCCAUUGGCGGACGGACAAGUGCAACAGAAAGUAUGUACAGUUCGGCUGUAGUGAAAUCAGGUAAACUCUAUGCAGUGAAACGCCAUGUAUACCAGUGUUUGAGGGUUGCACGCCCGAAUUGGAGGGUAGGCGGUUAGAGGUUUUGGGUAACCAAAACCCUAGAUAAAUGAUAAGGCUCGACAGAAUCCGGCUUAUGGCCUGCUUUUAUU
rnacentral:RNase_P_RNA from 1 species